GUGGGGAAUAUUGGACAAUGGCCGGAAGGCUGAUCCAGCCAUGCCGCGUGAAGGAUAAGGUCCUAUGGAUUGUAAACUUCUUUUGAGUGGGAGCAAUAAGGAUGUCGUGACAUCCGAUGAGAGUACCAUUCGAAUAAGCAUCGGCUAACUCCGUGCCAGCAGCCGCGGUAAUACGGAGGAUGCGAGCGUUAUCCGGAUUUAUUGGGUUUAAAGGGUGCGUAGGCGGUUUGUCAAGUCAGCGGUGAAACGCAAGGGCUCAACCCUUGACCUGCCGUUGAAACUGUCGGACUAGAAUGCGGAUGCUGUGGGAGGAAUGUGUGGUGUAGCGGUGAAAUGCAUAGAUAUCACACAGAACACCGAUUGCGAAGGCAUCUCACAAAUCCGUGAUUGACGCUGAGGCACGAAAGUGUGGGGAUCAAACAGG
rnacentral:rRNA from 1 species